GUGCUCGCUUCGGCAGCACAUUUACAAAAAUUGGAACAAUACAGAGAAGAUUAGCAUGACCCCUGCGCAAAGAUAAUAGGCGCAUUAGUGAAGCAUUCCAUAUUAAA
ensembl:snRNA U6 U6 spliceosomal RNA